rnacentral:lncRNA from 1 species
GUGAACACAAUCGAGUACCCUUCUCCUCUGCUCCCUUCCCCAGCCGACAUCCAUGGAGGUGCAUGUGACGUCAUGACGACGAGUUCAUUCUUAGUUGGCAAGGUAAUUCAUUUUUCAAUAUGGUGUGCAGUUCCAUCAGUGUGGUCGUGCAGCACACGGGCGUGGGUUUGAAAUGUGGUGCCCAUCUACGUGCAGCCCAUGAUGAUGGCCAUAUCCGUUGGGGCUUUUUUAUUCGUGUGUUUAUAUUGUACUCCCAUGGCCAUCAUACCGUAUUUGUAUUAGUAUUUGUUUGCCUAAUCAUUGCCAGCUCCACCAUAGCUUGUCCCUCCCGCCCACCCUCUGCUCUCUGUACCCCAAUGGCAUGCAGUUCUCUGAAGUUUGACCAUGUAGAGGAUUUCAGCAGGGGUACGCGCGACAACAAUGAAAAAAGCCGGGAUGGCUGCGUCGCUCAGGGCUGCACGCCACACUGUUCCCCUGUGAAGUGUCGCACACGUGUUGUAGAGGUUCACUUGCUGCAUUGUUGUAUGUUCACUUGCGGCCAUACAUUGACUUUUACUUACUGCAUUGUUGUAUGUUCACUUGCGGCCAUUCAUUGAUUUUUAUUUUGUCUGUGUGAAAUUAUGCGGCUGAGGGUGUGCUGCUCAUCACUGGGGUGUGCUACGGGGACAGCACCGCCGUCUCCUCCCUCGUGCAGGUGCUAUACUGAAUGAAUCCCCCUUCACUGUCUCCCUUCAGUUUUUUAUGUGUGUUGGUCCCCGAGUCUGCAGGGCAGUAGGGCUUGCAUGCAGUCCAGGACACAUCUCCUCCUAGCUACAUCUACCUCGGUUUCGAGAUGCCUCACCUUGCACCUCCACCUACUAUUUGUUGAUUUUUGUUUCCACCUGAUGGCCACAAGUACAGGUUUCUCUCGGUUGCAGCUCGGCUGGGUCGUCGAUGAAGUAUGGAGGUACGUGAGAGGGCGAUGGGUUUACCCUCAACGGUCUGCAUCGAUGACAUUAUUAGCAGUAAAACAAAUGCAAAAGGAUGAGAAGUUUAGAACCAUUAGCACCAUAGAAUCUUCAUUUUUGCAGUCAAGUGUGCAUUGUACAAUAUAAAAAAUGGGUGUAUUGUUUUGGUGCAGUUCAUAUUGAUUUACAUUUUGGAAAAAUGGUUAUGCAUCAUGCAGAGAAGUUAACUA